rnacentral:rRNA from 1 species
CGGCGGACGGGUGAGUAACGCGUGGGAACGUGCCCUUUGCUACGGGAUAGUCCUGGGAAACUGGGUUUAAUACCGUAUGGUGUCUACGGACUAAAGAUUUAUCGGCAAAGGAUCGGCCCGCGUUGGAUUAGGUAGUUGGUGGGGUAAUGGCCUACCAAGCCGACGAUCCAUAGCUGGUUUGAGAGGAUGAUCAGCCACACUGGGACUGAGACACGGCCCAGACUCCUACGGGAGGCAGCAGUGGGGAAUCUUAGACAAUGGGGGAAACCCUGAUCUAGCCAUGCCGCGUGAGUGACGAAGGCCUUAGGGUCGUAAAGCUCUUUCGCCAGGGAAGAUAAUGACGGUACCUGGUAAAGAAACCCCGGCUAACUCCGUGCCAGCAGCCGCGGUAAUACGGAGGGGGUUAGCGUUGUUCGGAAUUACUGGGCNUAAAGCGCGCGUAGGCGGACUAUUAAGUCAGAGGUGAAAUCCCAGGGCUCAACCCUGGAACUGCCUUUGAUACNGGNAGUCUUGANUUCGAGAGAGGUGAGUGGAAUUCCNAGUGUANAGGUGAAAUUCNUAGAUANUCGGAGGAACUCCUUGG